UCACACAUCCAUACCACACGGUCACUUGAUUGGGGCUUUGCCUGUUGCCCUGGUCCGCUGUUCGACUGGUCGCCAGGACAGGAGGACGGACGCCAGCCGCCCAGCAGCCACCGCUAGUCCGCUACUCCGCUAGCCGCUAGGGCAGGGCAAGUGUGUGUUGUCCGCCAGCCUGACCGCCUCUCCGCCUCCGGUGCUCACCCAGUCGGCCAGUCGCCCGCCUCGUCGGCCGCCGCCUCGCCGCGCGCAGCGCGCUGCCAGGAAAUAGGCCGCCAGGCGCCCGCAGUGCCUGUCCGGCGUGGUGACGUCCGCCUCAAGCUGUCAGACUGCCGCUCGACGCUCGUUACGCACGCCGCCAGCCCGCUAGUGUAAGGAUCAGAAACCAAACACACCAAAGCCCAUUGGUCGGACAGGAUCUGGGUCGCUCGGCACGCCAGGUCUUGCGAGGAGAACGAAACAAGCCGCUUGACGAACCGGGUCAUUAUCUGCCAAUCUGGUACUCUGUGUGCCUGUCUGUGAGUCUGUCAGCUCUCCCCCUCUGCUGUCCUCCUCUGUCUCUUGUCUCUGAUCCUGCUUGGGAGACAGUAUCGAUGGAUUUCGUGGAGCGUCUCCCAUGUUCUGUCAACGCUGAUUGCAUCUUAAUUUAAUUGUUGUGGACAAGUUUACUCAGUAUGCACACUUUUUGCCCCCGUCCCACCCCUAUACUGCAAGUUCCGCGACUCACUGUUUUAUGUUUUACAAGCUCCAUGGGUUGUCAUCUACACUCAUUUCCGACCAUGACCUUGUCUUUACUAAUAAGUUCUGGCACCAUCUCUUUAGGUUGGCUGGUAAAGAAUUAUGUUUGAGUUCCUCUUAUCACCCACAUACGAAUGGACAAACCGAGCGCGUGAAUCGUCUCCGUCGGUGAUUGGAUGUACAUGAAGUUACAUCCAAAAGUCCAAUCGUCUAUGAUGCCCCGUGCUCAUCACAGGCUUAACUUCAAAUAUUUCGGUCCAUAUCAGGGCUUGUUCGGUUAGUUUCCAAUCCAUAUGGAUUGAGUAGAAUUGAAUGAGUUUAAAUCCCAAGAAAGUCUAUCUUAUUCUUAAUUUUUUCCAAUCUCAUCCAAUCCAUGUGUAACGGAUUAACCGAACAAGGCCUCAGGUGACAGAUUGUGUGGCACAAGUGGCUUAUCGUCUACAAUUGCUUGCGUCUAGCCAUAUCCACCUUGUGGUUCACGUGUCUCAACUGAAGCUGCCUACUGGUUUUCAAGGCGAAUUAUGAAUUGACGAAUGAUAGGUUGUGUUAAUUUGAUAUUGUAUUGGUGUGGUAUGUGAAACUAUGAGUAUAAUAACUAUUUUUUUUGUUGUUAAAUUAGUUCAGAAUUAAUUGAAAUUAAUUAUUAUGUAUAUCAAUCUUAACGUAAACGGUAGACAAAUGGUGGGGCUAUGUUUAGUGUUUAGAUGUGUUUAAACAUGUUUAAACAGAAUUAAACGGUUUUUCUAAUGUAGCAGCAUUUCAGCGAGAUUAAAUUAGCUUUCAACAAGAAUAAAUGAGUAAAUACACAUAUAUUUAGUUCAACGAUACUGUGAUAUACUUAUAUAUUAUAUAUAAUUUCAACAAUAUAUAUAUAUAUAAUUUAAGCUAGCAUAUAUAUAAUUUGCACCAACCACAUGUCAAUAGUAUAUAUAUAAUUUAAGCUAGCAAACAGCAAGACAACCUUGCAGCCAGCACCUGCCAACCUUACUGCCAGCGGCCAACCUUGCUUCCAGCACCUGCCAAGAGCCCCAACACACGCAGGACGGGCCAUGCUUGGACCAGGCUAAAAACGAGUCGGCCCGAGUUUCAAAUGUCGGCCCAUACUAUUUAGACAUCUAUAGCUCUGGAUACACGUAGGGAGAUAUGCAGACAUGCAACUCAAUAUUUAUAAUAUCAAAUAGAUAUAAUCAAUUAAUACAGAAUAUAAUGUUGGUUUGACUAAAUUAAAGCGGCAAGACACAAGCUUGUGCUUGUCGCUUCCCGGUCUGCUUGCCGGAACAAUCUGGAGAUCCGAUGGCGGCAGAGUUGCUUCGAUGUAUUGUCGAGCCACGGCAAGGGGGGCAGGCAGGCAGCACACCUGAAAAGCAGGGGAGAUUCUCCUUCACUCCGCGCGCAGGCAUCAGGCACUCGUACGUACGUCACCACGCUCCCCCGUUCGCAUCCCGCGAAACUCGCGUGGUUCGUUUCAUCUCAUAUAUCCUGCCGGUGUCCGCCGCUGCAGUCCGUUGCAGACGCCGGCCCCGGGUCCGUUGGCGUUGCCCGCCCGCCCGCCUGCAGCUUCGUCAUCUGAUCAUUGCCCACGCUCUUUUGGUUGACGCCGGCCGAUGUCACAUCAGUCAGCCACCGCCUCAUCUCUCACAGACAGUCACAGGUUCUCAGCUGCCGCAUUGGAGACUGAUUAUUUCUAUGCAUUUGCAGACGAGGAUACACGUACGUCGCCGCGUCAGAUGAUGAGACGAGUCGUCUGGUACAUGCUUUGCCGGAACGGAGAUGUGCACGGCAGGCAGUUCUUCGGCCUGACCCUGGGGUACCCUUUAUCCUUGCGAUAUGGUCGACCAUCUUUGUUAUAGCUAUAGCGUGGCGUGGCGUGGCGUGCGGCAGAAGCGUGUAGGUUUGCAGAGCGCGCCAUAGCCUGCAAGGAUCGGACCAAGUAAAGGUGGCUGAGCUGGAGCGCACCUCCAUCGUCCCCUGGGCCGGCCGGACCCGGACGCCCGGUCAGCCGCCGCCGCCGCGCGCCGUUGCCUGCCCGGUUGGCCGCUUCGUCACGCGUUGCGGCGCAUUGCCAGCGCCCAAUGCCUCGGGUCUGGACGGAGUAGCUAGUAGUGGUGUGAUUGGCAUCUAGCUAAGCUAGCUCAGCCAGCCUUCAAGUUCAAGGCGCGAGUAGUCCCUCCCUCCCAUCCCAGCGCGCGGUUUUCCGGGGACGAACGUACCGGCCGCAUUUUCGUUGCCAGCUCCUUUUCUUCUGCCUGCUUUUCUGAUUUCUUUUGGUGCUCAGCUCAGGUAUCGGCCGGUCUUUGCAGUACCUAAGCAACAAGCAGGGGCGGACUCAGCACCUUGUCCGGUUACGAGUGCAUCUCAGAUUUAAAUAUAUAUAUAUAUAUAUGUACUUUAUAAAAUUAGCUACGGUUAUUAGUACUUGAUAAUCUUGUCGUCUAAACUGUCUUCAAUUUCUAGGUCUGCCACAGGCAACAAGUGAGGAACCUAGCCUAGCUACGAGGAUUCAAGGAACAUGGGAGAAAAUGGGUACUCUCUCUAUCCACAUAAUUUAGUUAUUUUGAGUUUGUCCUAAGUCAAUUAUUAUUAAUUUUGAUCAGUUAUAUAGGAUGUUUCAUAAGAUUUUACAACAAAAAAGUAAGUUACUAGAUUCUUCGUGAUUUGAACUAUCAUAAUUUCAAAAUGAUUUAAUCUUAUAUAUAUAUUAUAUUGAUCAAAGUUAAAAUAGUUUGAUUUAGGACAAUUUUAAAACAACUAAAUUAUGUGAACGGAGAGAGUAUUCACUAAUUAAUGACCGAGGCCGACACGCUGCGUAUAAAUAGGAUAUUAUUACCUUUUGACACGUACGAUCUGCUGACUACUACUAGUAAUCUUACGGUACUGAGGACGGUGUGAUCGCAGUGUUUUCUCUACUUUUCUCAACAAUACACCGGGCAUGUUUUUUGUGUGUGCAUGCAUCAUUUCACGCGCAAAUACAUUCUACUCUAAACUCAAAGUAGGCAGUGUUCACAAGAAUACACCAUGUAGGAUAGAACGUAUGUUGCAAUUUAUUAAGGGCCAUGUUUGUUCAUCAGAAUCGACUUCUAGCAGUCAAAGGUACGUUUCGUUUUUCAGCUUACUUCUGUAAAAGUCGUUUCUACGAAAAUCGUUCAAAUCAACAUGAAUAUAAAGUCUAUCGAGCCAUCACAGCGGGUGGAAUCAAUCCACCACUCUUAAACCCUAAACCGUGGAGACUUAUUCAUCUUUCUCCGCAUGUAAGUCUUAUGGAAUCUAGAUUCUAGUGACAUAUAGAUUAUCUAGAAAUUCUGGUUCUUAGAAAAAGCUCUCUGAAAAAAAUUGUUCCAAGCAUGCGGAAGCCUCGGGCUAUAACAACCUUAGCGAAUCAAAAAAUACAUUUUCAAAACUUUCAGAACCUAGAUGGUACCUUCAAACAACUUUAAGCAUUACUAAUAUAUAAAUUUUACUUUUAUAUUUUUAGCUUCUUGGAAGUUAUUUCUGGAAUUUUUUAAAAACCAAUUAAUAGCUGGACUGUUUAUUUUAGCUUCUCGGCACAUCAAAAAUGGAAUAUCUGUUAGAAGUCAACUUUCUAGUCUUUCAAAAUCCAACUCAACAGUCCAACCGUUUAUUUCAGCUUCUAGUUUAUCAGCGCGCGCUUAAAAUCAACAAAAUGUAAAACAAGCAGGCCCUAAAAGCAGCGCACGCCAAUAGUAAUUUGUUUCACAUUUCGUUCGGACUCUACAAACAAUUACAAGUAACGUGAUAAUAAUGAAAUGAUGGGUACAAUUUUCAUUGGUGAGAAAAUGGUCUCAAUUCGGAACAAACUAAUUUAUCGCCUACACUCUUACACGAGCUAGAAUUUUUUAUAAGACAAGUAUUCAAAAUUUGUGAAUAAAUUUAGUACUUACAUCUAAUCAAAAUCACUCAUCUUUAUUGUUGGGAGCUUUCUCCUUCCAAAAGUCUUCAAAAACAUAAUUAAUCAAUGUUUUUAGCAUAAGUCAUUACAGGAAGCUUCGUUUUUAGAAUGCAAGCCUCUUUCUCAUGAUGAAGACACGAAAUGAAGAUCAGAUCUAAAAAGGAUAAGAAUAAACGCCGACCUAUUAACAGAUGGACAACUUCGGCUCAUAACGGAGAUGAAGUAUAAUGAUGAUGCUGACCCGAAAGAGGAAAAAACUACUUAGUCCUUAAUGAUUUGUAUUUUGAUCAUAUAUAAAUAUUGAGGACAUAAAUAUACUUUCACC